UAUUCCUCUAAGCCAGCUGAAUAUCCAGCAGUCUUGACCUCUGUUCUGAGUAUUUCUGUGAAAAUAUGAAGAAUUGUCCAGCUAGUUAACAUAUUCUUUCCUAUUAAUGAUGAAGAUCUGCUUGCUGGCACAUGACAAAGCAAAAUGCAUGAUAUUACUGAGCUCUGGAAUACUCUACGCAUCAGUUUCUUUCCAUUGAAUUUAAUUGAAUAAAGGUUUUACUGAAGGAAAAAAAAAAGAAGAAGAAGAAGAAGAAGACGAAAAAAGAAGAAUUUCAUGCUGUACCAGAGACAUCUUAAGAAUAAAUAGUGCCUUGCAGAUGAAAACGUUGUUGAAGUGCAGCUUCUGGGAAAAAUGAAGAGGUCAUUCAAUUCAAGUGGGAUCAAAAGAGUGGCACAGCCUGAGGGACUCAUCACAGGAGGCUGCAGCUGCUACUGAGUGGAAGAGGUAUGGCUGAUGGGAGACCUGAAGGAGAAAAGAGUGAGAUGGCAUUGGUGGGUAGAGGUGCCCUUUUCCUACCCAGUGUUGGUGUGCUAUUGAGAAGUAACUUCUGAAUGGUAGUCCUCCCUGGGCUGUUCACGUGGUCAGCCCAAAGCAGAUUGCCACUGUUACCUUGCCAAGAGGAAAAUCACAGCCACCUAGGCGGCCAGAUAUUGUGUUUUCUCUUUAGAGCUAUCCAUGGAGUAAAGGCCUAGGCAUUUUGCUCCUCCUCCUCUUUUCCUUAUGGAUAAUAAAGCUCAAUUACAUGAGUUUGUGUCUGUGCACUUCUAUAGGCUUUGUGAAGGACCUAUUGUCCUCACGUUCAUUCCUAAACUAUCAUGGCAGCUCCAACACACUAAUGAAGGCUGCUCUUUCUGUCAGUGCAGGAGUUUUACAAAAG
ensembl:lncRNA